UUUGGCAAGUUAGUAGCAAUGCUGUCUGUAGAACGGAGCUCUUCAGACUCUUCAUCCUGUGCUGCAUCCACUGAGGUAUCCCCCGCGAGGCCUAAUCAGAAGUGUUGUGCUAUUUAGCAACUGCUGCUGGACCUGGAAUCGUGCUGUCAGGAGUCUCAGAUAUCUUGCAGUUUUGUUUGUCAGGAUCAAAUGAACUGCAUUAUUCGGGAGCAGGCUGUAGUGGCCUUCCUAAGUUCCCUGCUUCAAGAUCUGAAUGGUCACAAUCUAAUUCUCUCACCACGUGGCCAACUCUCAGACAGCAGUGGUCUCUUAGAAAAUCUGGUCCGUGCUGCUGCCUGCUGGCUUUGAGAUGGGCAACACAGUUACAUUGAAGGUACA
rnacentral:lncRNA from 1 species